rnacentral:rRNA from 1 species
CCUACGGGAGGCAGCAGUGGGGAAUAUUGCGCAAUGGGCGAAAGCCUGACGCAGCUACGCCGCGUGUGUGAUGAAGGCCCUCGGGUCGUAAAGCACUGUCGUGAGGGAAGAACUUUGACGGUACCUCACAAGAAAGCACCGGCUAACUCCGUGCCAGCAGCCGCGGUAAUACGGAGGGUGCAAGCGUUGCUCGGAAUUACUGGGCGUAAAGCGCACGCAGGCGGCCUUUUAAGUCGGAUGUGAAAGCCCAGGGCUCAACCCUGGAACUGCAUUCGAAACUGGAAGGCUUGAGUACGAGAGAGGGAAGCGGAAUUCCUGGUGUAGAGGUGAAAUUCGUAGAUAUCAGGAGGAACACCAGUGGCGAAAGCGGCUUCCUGGCUCGAUACUGACGCUCAUGUGCGAAAGCGUGGGGAGCAAACAGGAUUAGAUACCCUGGUAGUCCACGCUGUAAACGAUGAGUGCUAGCUGAUGGGGGACCUACCUUUUCAUUGGCGAAGCUAACGCAUUAAGCACUCCGCCUGGGGACUACGGUCGCAAGACUAAAACUCAAAGGAAUUGACGGGG